rnacentral:lncRNA from 1 species
AACACCCACAAACAACGUCACGACGCAACGUGGUUAAACAGUACGUUUAUUAAAGUAACUGGGUGAACGACAUCGGAGCGGACUGCAAAUCGCAACGCUACUUUCUCGAGUGCAGAUACUCUUCGAGACGGCUAAACAACGUGUCCAACUCGCUGAGACCUUUCCGCGUGCCGUUAUCCGAUUUCCUUUCCGCCUCCUGAGACAGCCGACUAAUCACGGACUUAUCUCCGCAACCUAACAGAGGCUGGGAGCCCGACAAAAGUAAAACAGCGUGCUAUGAACACGUUGUUACCUCUGCGCGGACAGCGCCGCCACAGAGACACUUACGCAUUGCCGCAUGUCUUUGUAGAUGGAUUCUAGCGUCGAGCGCAUACUAUGCAAUUCCGUCUUAAGUCCAGGAUAGACGUGGUCGCCUGCGGGGAACACGAUCUCCAGAUACCGCCUCAACAACCAGUCCAUGACGCUGCAUCCCCAACAGCCUUUGACCACCGUACCGUCGAGCCACACGGAGUAGUCGUCCUCACGUUGCUACAAGAGGAAAACUACGUCACCCGACACGCGGAAAAGAAAGACCGUCGCAAUAAACCGUACCUACGUGACCUACCAACGUAGGUUUUACUCGAUGAAAGGUGACGCGGAGAUCUUGCAAUCUGGUCGCGUAAUCCUCCGGACGACACUGCGGCUUUGUAUUCUUUAUCGUCGUCGUCGCCGCCGGCUUCGCCUCCUCGGAAGCGCCUAGAAAAAAGACGAUCAGGACCAGAGAGGAAGAGACCAUCACCGACAGCAUCGCCGCAGCAUGCCGCCCCAAUCCGCCGCCCAACUGCGCGUCCCAGAUACCACUCGUAGACUGUCAGCCUCGCGAGGAGACACCGCGGACCGGGGAAACGGAUAAGUUUACGAACAGAAAUCUCAAGAGAAAGACGCUGACCCGGCAAGUACCGUCACGGAGACACGGUGGUUUUUAUUGAAUUUCCAGUGUAUCGAGCCACCGUGAUGCAGGUACGGUGGUUUUAUGUGAAGUGCCGCUAUCUAUGGGCGAUGUGUUCCCUGACGGUGUGUGUUUUUUGGGGAUAGACAACGUGGUUCUUGUACGUGGUUUUUACCCUGCUCAAUAAAGUCACGUUUUCCUUACACGGUGUUGUGUC